UACGUAGGGGGCGAGCGUUGUCCGGAAUUAUUGGGCGUAAAGAGCGUGUAGGCGGUUCGGUAAGUCUGCCGUGAAAACCCAGGGCUCAACCUCCAGCUGUCGUUGGAAACUAUUCGGCUAGAGUCCGGAAGAGGAGAGUGGAAUUCCCGGUGUAGCGGUGAAAUGCGCAGAUAUCGGGAAGAACACCCAUGGCGAAGGCAGCUCUCUGGGACGGUACUGACGCUGAGACGCGAAAGCGUGGGGAGCGAUCCGGAUUAGAUACCCCGGUAGU
rnacentral:rRNA from 1 species